UACGGAGGAUGCGAGCGUUAUCCGGAUUUAUUGGGUUUAAAGGGUGCGUAGGCGGGUUAUCAAGUCAGCGGUAAAAUCGUGGAGCUCAACUCCAUCCAGCCGUUGAAACUGAUGAUCUUGAGUGGGCGAGAAGUAUGCGGAAUGCGUGGUGUAGCGGUGAAAUGCAUAGAUAUCACGCAGAACCCCCGAUUGCGAAGGCAGCAUACCGGCGCCCGACUGACGCUGAAGCACGAAAGCGUGGGUAUCGAACAGG
rnacentral:rRNA from 1 species